UACGAAGGGGGCUAGCGUUGCUCGGAAUCACUGGGCGUAAAGGGUGCGUAGGCGGGUUUUUAAGUCAGGGGUGAAAUCCUGGAGCUCAACUCCAGAACUGCCUUUGAUACUGAAGAUCUUGAGUUCGGGAGAGGUGAGUGGAACUGCGAGUGUAGAGGUGAAAUUCGUAGAUAUUCGCAAGAGCACCAGUGGCGAAGGCGGCUCACUGGCCCGGUACUGACGCUGAGGUGCGAAAGCGUGGGGAGCAAACAGG
rnacentral:rRNA from 1 species